UUCCCGUUCGUCUAACGGCAAGACGCGAGGCUCUGAACCUCGAAAUUGUGGUUCGAAUCCAUGGCGGGAAGC
rnacentral:tRNA from 1 species